UACGUAGGCAGCAAGCGUUGUUCGGAGUUACUGGGCGUAAAGAGUGUGUAGGCGGUUUUCUAAGUUUGGUGUGAAAUCUCCCGGCUUAACUGGGAGGGUGCGCCGAAGACUGGAAGGCUUGAGUAUGGGAGAGGAAAGCGGAAUUCCUGGUGUAGCGGUGAAAUGCGUAGAUAUCAGGAGGAACACCUGUGGCGAAAGCGGCUCACUGGACCAUAACUGACGCUGAUGCACGAAAGCUAGGGGAGCAAACAGG
rnacentral:rRNA from 1 species